rnacentral:rRNA from 1 species
UACGGAGGGUGGCAAGCGUUAUCCGGAUUCACUGGGGUUUAAAGGGUGCGUAGGCGGGUUGGUAAGUCCGUGGUGAAAUCCCCAAGCUUAACUUGGGAACUGCCGUGGAUACUAUCAAUCUUGAAUAUCGUGGAGGUAAGCGGAAUAUGUCAUGUAGCGGUGAAAUGCUUAGAUAUGACAUAGAACACCAAUUGCGUAGGCAGCUUACUACACGAUCAUUGACGCUGAGGCACGAAAGCGUGGGGAGCAAACAGG